rnacentral:tRNA from 1 species
GCGGAGGUUGCCCAGCCUGGUUAAAGGCGCAGGGUUUAGGUCCCUGCAUCUCGUAGGAGUUCGCGAGUUCAAAUCUCGCCCUCCGCACCA